UUUAGGUAAGUGGUAGCUUCUGUCCUCACCUGGAGUAAGCGCUCAGCCUUUGGUGUCACUGGGGCCCCUUGCCAGGGGCGUUAAAAUGCAGAUUCCCUGGCCCUCCAUGGGCAGCCUUCUAGCUGCUGCCUUGACAGGAAUCACACACGGCUGGGCCUGCAGCUUCUCUCUGGAGCUCAGGCCUUUCUGUCAUUCUGCCUCUUUCUGGCUCUAAAAUUCUCCCCUCACUGGAAGGCCCCAUCCUUUUCAGUCAUGGCUUCCCUGGUCUCUCCAGGCUCCAAUCCUCUCCCCAGAGCUAAUCUCACCUUCUUGAUGUCACCAUUUCCCCUCUCCUGGGGCAUUUAGGUCAGGCUGGGGGAAAUGAGUCAUCCUGGGGUGGGGGGAGGGGGCUUCAAGUCCAUAAAUGGGCAAAAGCUCUGAUUUUAGCUUUCUGUCUUCGGGAAAGGGACAGUCUCUCCCCUCCAUUAUUCUCCCCACUCUGUCAUCUCCUCCCCCAGAGGAAUUCCCCAGAGACAAGGAAGGCGUGCGGUGGGGAGGCUGCCUUUGACCAGACCAGUGGAAUUCUAGAAACAGCAGAGCUUCUCAGGGAACUGCGUUCCGGUCUGACUCAGCUUCCCUGAUAAACAGACACUGCCGGCCAGGAUUUUCCCAGCCCAUGAGGCCAAAGCCCCAUUUCCGGGUGGAAAUGCUCAGCUCUGCCUUCGGAGUUGAGGACCCAGCGAGGGAGGCAGGACUGGCCACACUCCCCUGCGAUCACUGCUGUGUCCCGAACACCUUCAUCCUCGAAGCAGGCCUGCCGCUGGCAUGAAUGUUGCCUCUGUUAAGGGACACUCCAGGCUCUGCCUCCCACCCUGCCAGUGCCCAGUACCCUGGGAACGAAAAAGCCACAGGAGGGGCCAGGUGGUGUCUAAGGAGAGCUGUGGUCACCCCCCCACAGUGGAUCCUCACCUGGUGGCCAUAUUUCUUUUGAGUUCUUUUCACCAUUGGGGGUCUGCGCCGGCUCUGCUGCGGAAACCUUGCUUACAACAGGCCAGACUCGCAAAGCUCCAGAUACAUCAGAAUGCCAAUUCCCUGACUUACCAUGAAAAAUGCAACUGCUGGCAAACCAACCAGAUACUUGGGUUUGCUGGUGCCAGGGGAAAAUACAGACGCAGUCCAGGGACCGUCCCCUCCCUCCAGGAAUUCCUAUAUAAUAAAGUUGCAGCUAUAAACGAACACCUACGGGAGGAUCGUGAGCAGCACCAGUGGGCGUGCCAAGGAUGCCUCUCAGAGCCUCAAGAUGGGGCAGGGUUGCAACUCUCUCUCAGCGGCGUCAGCUUGGUCCACGUGUGUCCCAUGGCCUUAGGUGAGCAUCACUGUCAGCUGAGUCAACUUAUCCCAUGUGCAUCCUAUGCCCAGGUCCCUUGGAUCAGCAUCUCAUUAGACCCACUUUUCUACCCCUGUUGGGGCAGUGAGUGAGGUCCAGCCUCAGCUUCCUUCCACCCCCACAAAUUAGCUCAGAAAGAAGAACCAGCACAGAAUCACGUUAAAUGAUGUGUUCAGUGUCAGCACAUCCCCACCUCGGAUUAAUUUUAGGCAAAAGAACUGGUACUGAUCCUCACUGAAGUCUCUGGUGUUGCUUAGAACCCCAGUUCCCAAAUAAUGGUCUGGGGGACCCCUAGCGGUACUCCCCAAAUCCUUCCAGAAGAUACAAGGAUACAUGAGGUUAAAAUGGUUUUAUUAACAAUAUGACUAUAUCAUUGACCUUUUCCUCCUGAUUCUCUAAUAAGUGUACUGUGGAAUUUUCCAGGGCCUUCCUGAUGUGUGUUGUUACAACAGAUGGAAUGCUGAAAGAGAUGUAAGAAUCCAAUUCUGUUCGAGAAUGUGAGUUACUUAACGCCGUGUACACUUAAAAAUGAUUAAGAUGUGGGGUACCUGGGUGGC